UACGGGGGGGGGCAAGCGUUGUUCGGAGUUACUGGGCGUAAAGGGCUCGUAGGCGGCCAACUAAGUCAGACGUGAAAUCCCUCGGCUUAACCGGGGAACUGCAUCUGAUACUGGAUGGCUUGAGUUCGGGAGAGGGAUGCGGAAUUCCAGGUGUAGCGGUGAAAUGCGUAGAUAUCUGGAGGAACACCGGUGGCGAAGGCGGCAUCCUGGACCGACACUGACGCUGAGGAGCGAAAGCCAGGGGAGCAAACGGG
rnacentral:rRNA from 1 species